GACGAACGCUGGCGGCGUGCUUAACACAUGCCAGUCGAACGGAGAGGCCCUGCUUGCAGGGUACUCGAGUGGCGAACGGGUGAGUAACACGUGGGUGAUCUGCCCUGCACUUCGGGAUAAGCCUGGGAAACUGGGUCUAAUACCGGAUAGGAGCCAUUUUUAGUGUGAUGGUUGGAAAGUUUUUUCGGUGUAGGAUGAGCUCGCGGCCUAUCAGCUUGUUGGUGGGGUAAUGGCCUACCAAGGCGGCGACGGGUAGCCGGCCUGAGAGGGUGGACGGCCACAUUGGGACUGAGAUACGGCCCAGACUCCUACGGGAGGCAGCAGUGGGGAAUAUUGCACAAUGGGCGCAAGCCUGAUGCAGCGACGCCGCGUGGGGGAUGACGGCCUUCGGGUUGUAAACUCCUUUCGCUAGGGACGAAGCUUUUUGUGACGGUACCUAGAUAAGAAGCACCGGCUAACUACGUG
rnacentral:rRNA from 1 species